rnacentral:rRNA from 1 species
UACGGGGGGGGUAAGCGUUGUUCGGAAUUACUGGGCGUAAAGGGCUCGUAGGCGGCCAACUUAGUCAGACGUGAAAUCCCUCAGCUUAACUGGGGAACUGCGUCUGAUACUGGAUGGCUUGAGUGCAGGAGAGGAACGCGGAAUUCCAGGUGUAGCGGUGAAAUGCGUAGAUAUCUGGAGGAACACCGGUGGCGAAGGCGGCGUUCUGGACUGCAACUGACACUGAGGAACGAAAGCCAGGGGAGCAAACGGG